AAGAGUGUCUGCCCCUCUGAAGGUCUAGCUCUCCCUCACACAGGAUUUGGAUGCAGGGAGCAGUUUCAAAAAAUCAUUUUAUAGUUACAAAAAAUAGUACCCUAAAUGUAAUCUCUAUCCAGACCUUCGAAAUCCACUAAAGUUUUGAGUUUAAAGACAUCGGUUUUAAAAAUUGACUUAUAUGAGUUCCUGACAGUGGAGCUGUGAGCAUGGAGUGCAUUUGACCUUGGUGUUCAGUACCAUGGAAGCCUGUCAGGAGCUGGAUGGCAUGUUCAGGCGCCAGGUGCUGGUGUAUGGUGGCACCCACAAUCUGGGCUUCUGCUGCCUGUGGGACUUCCAGCCCACAAGUGGUGAGUUACCAGCAUCGAUGUGAUGGAGAACAAAGAUGCCAGUGCCAGUGUGGUUGUUAAGACAACAGAUUCAUUCAUGGAACAGGCUGACCAGGUCACUGCUGAAGUUGGAAAACUUCUAGGUGACCAGAAGGUGGAUGUGAUUCUCUGUGUGACUGGAGGAUGGGCCGGGACAAGACCAAAUCCAAGUUACCCUUUAAAAGCUCUGACCUGUUAUGGAAAUAGAGUAUGUUGAUACUUGGUUACAAAGCACCUGAAGGAAGAAGGCCUCUCGACCCUGGCUGGGGACAAAGCUGCCUUGGUUAGGACUCCUGGGAUGAUUAUCUACGUCAUGGCUAAGAGAGCCAUCCAUCAGCCUUGCCAGAACCUUGCAGGGAAGAAAAGUGGCAUGACACCCGGGGCUACCGCCAUUGCUGUGCUCCCCAUUACCCUGGAUACUCUGAUGGACAAGAAAUCAAUGCCCAAGGCAGACUUCAGCUCCUGGACACACUUAGAGGUCCUGGUGGAGACCUUCCAUGACUGGAUCACUGGGAACAAAUGGCCAAACUCAGGAAGUCUAAUCCAAGUGAUAACCACAGAUGGGAAGACCCGUUUACUCCAGCAUAUUUUUUUCUAAGCUGUAUCUCAGUGCCUGGGAUUGCCCUCUUGGAACGUCACUAAACUGUGUGCCGCAUCUGGCCCUAUGUUUUCGGCAUGCCUGUUUGUGGUAUGAGAUGACCAGUUCUGUUUGUCUCUUACAUAGCAUUUCUUUUUUGUCUUGGGAUGUUUAUGGGAAAUGAGCAAACGCCUGUAGGUAGCACCAUCAGUGCUGAGAGCCCAGGAAGGUAUGUGGUCAGGUCUGUAUCAUAGCAUCCUAGACUGCUUCAGAGCCCUGUUUGAUAGUUCUUUCAUUUUUUUCGCAUUGGGGUCACUUUAAAAUCCAACUUGUUUUUAAAUUCCAUGUUGGUGCCAUAGACGUAGUUUUUGUGCCCUGAAAAUUAACUGCCAGGAAAAUUCUUUGCUGAUGUAAGUAAGCAAAACCUAAUGGACUCUAGACUCUGUUGUGAUAUCCUUUUGUGUUCCAGCAUAGGCUAAGUGUUUAUGGGAACCAUUUGUGAGUGUUCUUCCUAAUAAACAUACUUCAUGUCUAAAAUAAAUAAGUAAAUAAAAAUAAAUAAAUAAAUAAAUAAAUAAAUAAAUAAAAAUAUUCAUUUUUUGGAGAGCUUUCUUGGAAAUAUGCUUGGCAGUCUAUAGACUACUUCAUUGGGAAAUAACUGUAACAGAAACCAUUUCAGAGUUGUAACAGAAUAAUCAGUCUUACAUUGCAGUAGUCUGUGACAAGGCCAAGUUCCUAAUUUCUGUCUCAUGCUACUUCUCUCUCAGGAGCUAGAUCUCCAGAGGUAAUUUUGUACCAAAUGAACUUAUCAGGGAAAGUAAUGAUGUUUUCAAUAAGUUGAUAUUUUCUUUCAAUAUGUUUUUAAGUGUAUAUUGAUCUUAAUUAUUAUUUUCUUCAAUUAAGAAGUCAUGUAGGAAAGGGACUGGUAGGGAUGAUGGAGGUAAACAGAACAGGUAAGGGAGUAAUAAGAGAGGGUGAGAAGAAGAGUGUAACCAACAGACACUAUAUACAUGUAUUAAAUUGUCAAAGAACAAAAAUAUGUGAAUUUUAUUAUCUACAGAAAGAAGUGAUUUCUAGACUAGUAAGAUGACUUAGAGGGUAAGUGUACCUACUGACAUGCCAAAAACUUGAUUUAAAUCCCUGACUUUACAUGCUAGAAGAAAAUAAAUGAGUGCUGCACAUGUCCUCUGACCUCCACAUGUGCAGUAUAACAUGAAUGCAAGCAAAUAUACACAUAAAUAGAUAAAUAGGUAUAAUGUAAAAAGUUUGCACAACAUGAUUUCUGUUUCCAUGCCUUGUGGAUAUAAAUAAGUUAUCUGUUUUCAUCUCUUGAUGGCUUUAUGAAACAAAUUUUCCAUUCUAAAGAGGAAUAUACUAUUCUUGUUUUGUUUUUUUGUUUUUUUUUUUUCCUAAGUCCAAUCUUGCCACACACGCAUUGCAUUUUCAGCAGUAGCAUUUCUGUGUUGUCUUCCUGUGAACAACUUCCUGCUAUUGUCUGAAUGUGCUGUGGGAAGCCUGGGAGACAUUGGCAGGGCUUAGUUCUUAACUGCAAUCCCAUGGAAAGUCACUAAACACUCUAUUUCUUCAGAACAAACCAACUGAUUAUGUGGACAGCCAUAUCUUAAAAACUAACUUUAAUUAUGUGACAUGUAAAAUCUGAAUUGAAAUGGGAUAUAUUAAUUGAAGCAGGGUGGUGUUUUUUGCCAUUGAAGUUCUUUUCCUUUACAAUUCAAUAAUAUUUUGCUUUAGCUCUGGAAUGUACAAAGUAUACUUGAAAUAUUUAUUUAAUCUUCCUAGAAAGGUACCUUUUGGGAAUUAAAAAUGUAUACAGACUGAGGAAGACUACAAACAGAAUGGAAAGCAGGAAAAAAACUAAUUAAAGUCUUAAAUGAUCCUUGAAUAAAUUGAUGUACAGCCCCCAGGUGCAGGCGUGACUGAGGGGGAACUGACAAAACUGUCUAGAGAAAAUGGACGAAAAAGGACUCAAAAGAAAUCCCUCUUCUGGAUUUCAAAGGACAAAUGGAGGGGAAAUUAUUACAAAUCUUGGAGCUAUCAAGCUGUUUUCCCUCCUCCUAUCUUGCAUAUUUAACUGUGACAACAUUGGCAGGUAAAACACCUUUCUUUCAUUUGCAAACAGAGCAUUUUUUUGUUUGCUUUUCUUUGAAGGUGUCUUUUUUCCUUGUCUUUUUUUGUUUUGUUUUUGGUUUUUUUUGUUUGUUUGUUUUUGUUUUUGUUUUUUUCAAAAUGAAAGCUUUCUCCUUGUAGGGAGUGACUAGUAAUUAAACUUUCCUAAAUUAAAAAAAAAGGGCAAUUCUUUUCAGGGUAUUAGUCAUGUUUUAUAGAAUUGUGAAGAGGUACAAAUGGUAACCACUGCAACAAAACAUUUAAUUGGGGCUGGCUUAUUGUUUAGAGGUUUGGCUAAAUAUCUUCAUGUUGUGAAGCUUGGCAGCAUGGAAGUAGACAUGGUGCUAGAGAAGUAGCUGAGAGUUCUAUAUCUGGAUGGGCAGGCAUUAGGAAGAUCGAGUGACACUGGGCCCUGCUUGAUCAUUUGAAAACUCAAAUCCUCUAUGCAAAGAUAUACCUCCCCCAACGCCACAGAUAAUGCAACAACACCACACCUCUAUUAGUGCCACUCCCUAUGGCUCUACUAAGGCUAUUUUUAUUCAAGCAACCUCACUCUAGUUAUUGUGUUUCAUAGCUAAGGCACAAGUCCCUUUGACAAAUGUAAAAAUCUAUUAAAUAUCCCUCACUGUUUCAUUUGAGAGUCGUACACUCAACCCACAGAUAUAUAAAUAAAACUGUGUCAUUCAGUUUUUGCAAAAAGAGACCAGAAACACUAUAAAGACAGGAAAUGUCUUCUGAAAUGAAGAAGAAUCAAUUGGUUUACAUUUUGUGGACAAAAAAAAAAA